GCAGUCGUGGCCCAGUGGUUAAGGCGAUGGACUAGAAAUACAUUGGGGUCUCCCCGUACAGGUUCGAAUCCUGUCGACUGCG
rnacentral:tRNA from 1 species